rnacentral:snoRNA from 1 species
UGCUGCAGUGAUGACAAUUAUUUGCUACUCUCGACAAGAUGGAUGACGAGACUUACCAACCACCAUGUUAAACAAUCUGAGGCG